AAAUGUUGUGCCAGCAUUUGCGGUUAUACAUCAAGUUAAAGUUAAUUUAUUUAGAUUUUAGUUUUUUGUUUUUAUAAUUUUUUAUUUGGGUGAAAUCUAUAUAUUUUAAAAUAUAAUUAAUUCUAAAUAGAUUUGGGUUUAAACCAGGAUUAGAUACCCUGUUAUUCAAAAUUAAUUUUUUUUUUCUAAGGUAGUAUAUUUUAAUGAUUGAAAUUUAAUGGAUCUGGCGGUUUUUAAAUCUUUUUAGAGGAACCUGUAAUUUAAAUGAUAGUCCACGAUUUUUCUUACCUUCUCUGUCUUGUAUAUCGCUGUCGUUGAGUGUGAUGAAAAUUUAUUUUCUUUUUCUUUUUUUAGAAUUAUGUUAGGUCAAGAUGCAGUUAUGAUGGGGUUAUUAUGGGUUACUUUUAUAUUUGUUUGGGGAUGAUUUAUUGUUUUUUAUAUUUUUUGAAUUUGGAUUUAAUAGUAAUUUUUUUUAUUUAAUUUUAUGAAUUUGGCUCUUAAUUAUGUACAUAUCGCCCGUCACUCUCAUAUAGUGAGAUAAGUCGUAACAAAGUAGAUGUACCGGAAGGUGUAUCUAGAA
rnacentral:rRNA from 1 species